rnacentral:rRNA from 1 species
AUUGAACGCUGGCGGCAGGCCUAACACAUGCAAGUCGAGCGAGCGGCGGACGGGUGUGUAAUGUAUGGGGACUGCCCGAUAUAGGGGGAUAACUACUGUAAACGGUAGCUAAUAUCCCACACUACCUGAUUACCCAUAUGGGAUUAGCUAGUAGGUGAGGUAAUGGCUCACCUAGGCGACGCUCCCUAGCUGGUCUGAGAGGAUGAUCAGCCACACUGGGACUGAGACACGGCCCAGACUCCUACGGAGGCAGCAGUGGGGAAUAUUGCACAAUGGGCGCAAGCCUGAUGCAGCCAUGCCGCGUGUAUGAAGAAGGCCUUAGGGUUGUAAAGUACUUUCAGUCGGGAGGCGUUACCGACAGAAGAAGCACCGGCUAACUCCGUGCCAGCAGCCGCGGUAAUAC